UACGUAGGGUGCGAGCGUUAAUCGGAAUUACUGGGCGUAAAGCGUGCGCAGGCGGCUUUGCAAGACAGAUGUGAAAGCCCCGGGCUCAACCUGGGAAUUGCAUUUGAAACUGGAGAACUAGAGUGUGUGAGAGGGGGGUAGAAUUCCAAGUGUAGCGGUGAAAUGCGUAGAGAUGUGGAGGAAUACCGAUGGCGAAGGCAGCCCCCUGGGAUAACACUGACGCUCAUGCACGAAAGCGUGGGGAGCAAACAGG
rnacentral:rRNA from 1 species